rnacentral:lncRNA from 1 species
AAUAAAUAAGAUAAAUACUCUGUAGGUUAUGGUGCGUAGCAUAGAAAAUAACUCACCAUAAAGUCCCCUCAGCAGUUGCGCCUACGCGCCAAGAUAGCCACCAAAUGAACCUAUCAGAUCCUGCACAUUUAUCGUAAAGUAUAGCAUGAGUACGUAAAUCAACUCGUACCCAGUAAGUAUUUAGCCUUACCUAAGAGAAGUAGUGAUGAUGGCAUGACAUCGACACUUACUAGUGGUCUAAUAAAGCAAUAUGAGGACUCAUAAAAGAUAUGAAGCACCAAUAUAGUAGUGAGAUAUAAACUGUAACUAGCAUAAUCCUCCAUAAAUUUCUUUUAACGAUAUAAAUUUCUUAACUCUUGUGUGGCAUCUCAACAUAUCUGAAAUUAUCAAUUGCAAUCUCAAACGGAUAAGGAAUACCAUAUAAAAUACCAGGCCUCUGUAGAAGGGAGAUCUCAUGAAUAUCCGGACUGAUAACGGUAUAACACACAAUUAUUUCAAGGUCGUACGACCCGAUCUAGAGUGGUUUGUACACUCCCGAGGGUCGACCAACGCGAACCAGAGAUGCGUCUCAAUAUAGUGUCGAGGCGUUCGGCUCGAUCCGCAGGAAAGGAAGAAACUUACCAAAUUCCGAGUCACAUGCUUACAACACAGGUGCCUAAUACAUUUCAAACUCAAUUUCAAUUAUAAGUUCACUUUAUUAAGCUAGCAGAAUGAGUUCAAAUAAUUUAAAUAUUACAUGAUAGAGUCCUAAGUCUACCGGGACAUGAACAUGAUUUUAGCUACAUAAGGACAUCACCUCAUGCGUAUGCAACACCCAUAACUAGUAUUGCAAGACAAUUUUAAUACCUACAUAGCAGAUUCCCCAUCACAAAGAUAGACAAGAGACUUACCUUGCUCCAAAGUAUAACAGACUCUAACGCCUCUUUAACACCCCAAACCGAUGCCCAUCGAUCUUAACUAGUCAAACAAUCGGGAAACCGAUAAAAAUAUACCCCAACAUCAUAAUUAAUUAAUUUAUACUAAUUCCCAACUCCGCUCGAAAAGUCAACAAACACAACUCUCGAUCCCACGUGCUUUGAUUCCUUAAUUUUUUGAAAAUGAACAUUACCCAUAACACCACAAACUCAAAUGCAUAAUUUAUUCCUAAUUCCAUGUACACUUUCGAGGUCAAAAUCAAAAAAUACCAAUUCUAGGAUUUUCUUCAAAAUCUCACAAUUCCUACCAAUUUACAUAUUUAAAUCCUUGUAGAAUCCAUGUAAUUAACAAAUAUUAUUUGGGAAUUACUUACCUUGCCGUAGAUGAUGUAAAUCUCUGCUUGCCAAGCUCUGAAAAAUCGCCCCAACCAAGUGAAAAUGAAAGAAAAUGAUCCAAAUCCUGUAUAAAACCCAGUCUGCCCAGGUCCGCCCUCUUAGCAAUCGCGGAAGAACCAAACACGAGCACGAAGGGAAAAAUCAUUGCCUCCAAAAAUUCCUUUACACGUUUGCGAGCACCAGUCCGCGUUCGCGAGGCCUUCAGUCCUACUGCUUUGUGUUCACAAUGUAAACAUCACGUUCGCUAAGGCUUAGUGGCUCCAAGCCCUAGAUCCCCCUCCUUCUUCAUGUUCGCGACCUCCAAGUCGCGUUCGCAUAGGCUACCUCAACAUCAUUUUUUCAUUCGCGACGCCUAUAUCGCGUUCGCGAUGAGUAAAUUCCAGUAGGAAAAAUAUCUUUGUUCGCAUACGUGUAAGACCAUUUGCAUUCGCGAAAAACAAAACUAGACACCAGCACCAGCUGUUGCAAAACAAGGAAAAAAGGUCUAAAAACCCAUUGUGAAUCACACUCGAGGCCCCCAGGACCCUAUCCAAUCAUACCAACCAGUUCCAAAACCUAAUAGGAACCUACUCGAGGCCUCAAAUCACAACAAACAAUAUCAAAAUUAUGAAUCGACUAUCGAAAACUUCCUCUCAAAUUUCAAACAUUCGAACUUUGACGAAUGCACUCGAAUAGUCCCCUAAUAUCACGGAAUGGUGCCAAAUUUUGCAUGCAAGACACAAAUCAUGAUGCAAACAUAUUCCAAGACUCGGAACCCCAAACAAACAUUGAUAACACCAAAAUUCACUUUAAAUCAAACAUAAGAAUUCUUAAACUUUCAAAAUGCCAACUUUCGAUAAUAAGCGUCGAAAUGCUCCUGCACCACUCGAUACUCAACCCGAACAUACGCCUAAGCCCAAAAUCAUCAUACAAACCUAUUGGAACCUUCAAGUAUCGAUCUCGGGGUCGUUUACUUAAAAGUCAAACCUUGGACAACUCUUCCAACUCAAAGCUUCCGAAUUAUGGAUUUUCCUUCUUAAUUAACUCCAAACUUCCCGAAAUACAAUUCUGAUAACGCGUAUAAGUCAUAAAAUAUAACGUGAAGCUAAUCAAUUCCUCAAACCACUGAGCGACGUGCUAGAGCUCAUAAUGACUGGUCGGGUCAUUAUAAAGACAACUAGGCCAUGCCAAGAUAACCUCGAAGUUAAUCAUAUCGAGCAAUAUAAGGCCCGCUCCAGUCUCGUACCCAUAGCAAGUCACUGCAUGGGACCAAUAAAGUCAAUCCAGAGUAAUAGGAUCACGCACCAGCAUGGACACAUACCCAAGGACUCAAAAGAUAAAUCUAAAUAUAAAGCAAAAUAUAGAAGGUACAUAGGAAUAGGUAGACCCUGGAUAAAAAACAUCUCUUCGGCUGACAUAAAUAUUACUUGUGAUCACGACAUUAGAGGCUAGUUCCUCUGGUCUAUCUAGAAAGGCAUAUAUAGCAUGAGCUCCACCUGACUGCCUCCAUCUCUAGGGCGACCCCCACCCACCUGCCCUCCGCCUCUGGCCGACCGGAUGGGCGAUGCAGUAGCUGGUGUUGUAAUCACGGACUAAUGGCUCUGCUGCAGUGGCUUGCCCCGAAGUUUGGGACUAAACUUCUUCACGUGACCAAACUCCCCGUAAUCAAAACAAACACUUGGAGUAGGAACAUGUUGACUUAGUUUGAGUACCCACUAAUCUUUGCCAAAUACGUCUGAAUCACACUUAACUAUUUCGGAUCGCAACUAAACUUUGCACACAAGUUCCAAUCAAUAAAUCAAACCCACAAAGGGUGUCAAAAACCAAAAUAGGAGUUUGAUAACACCAAAUUUAACUCUAGGUUAAGCCUAUACGCUCUAUAAUUCCUCAAAUUUCCAACAUUCGAUAAAUAGAGCCAAAACCUUUUGGGAACAUCCAAAUUCAAAUCCGAACAUAUGCUCAAGUCAAAAUCACCAUAAGAACCUAUUAAAACCAUCAAAUCCUGAUUCUAAUGUUGUUUACUCAAAAGUUAAACCUUGGUCAACUCUUCUAAAUUAGAGCUUCCAAAUUGAGAAUCAUUAUUGUUGCGCCAUUUCUCGCAAAAGCGGGUUUUGACGUGAAACUCUUUUAGAAUGGGUAUUAAAAGAUAAUAUUCUCCACGUAAUGAUUAUUAAGGUGCAUAAGAGCACCUAUUUGCAAGUAAGUUUGUUUUAACUAGUCAGUGUCCCCAAAGAUUGGGCAAGUGCGCAAUUACUCAAAGAGAAGGGUUGGCAAUCUUCGAGGUCCAUAAUUGUGGUUUUUGACCGAAUUUUAUGCUAUGUGGGAUUAUUCUAAGUGAUCAUGCAAAUGAAUUCAGUAUUAAGCUAAAGGUGCAAAGGUUUGGGUGAACCAUUAGUUACAAAUAGUCGAAGAAAUAACAUGCAAAAAAUAGUAAUUAGGGAGAAAAGACUUCAUUUAUAAAUAGCUAAUUGGUACAAUUCCUUAGAGACUAUAAGGUGUAACUUAAUUAACCCUAGAUUCUAAAUAUAGACAUAAAUAUAUAAAAAAAAAACAAAUAGGACUUGAUCACAAGGAACAUUACAAAGAAAAAUUUAGGGACAGCAUGGUCCAGAACUAAUCUGAAUAAAACAGCUAAGUAAAAGUUCAUAUAUGGAAGCCUUUGUAGGAAACAUCUAGGAUAGAACAUGGUCAAGGGCUUUUUCAAGUAAACUAUCGCAGGAGAGCAAAGUUUAGCUAGGAACUAACUCAGAAUAGACAACAAGUUCAACAUGAACAUUCGAACAUGGAUCCUUAUAGGAAAAACUAGUAUGUAAAUAGGGGAGGCAAACCAUGAUCUAAUUCUAGUAACAAGUAGCAAUUCCCACAUAUAAAGAUUCAACAUGAAAAUAAACAUGGUUGAGGAACUAAUUCUGAGAAACUGACAGGUAGCAAGGCAUACAUGAGGGACUUAGCAUGAAAAUCUUAAAGUAAAACAUAUUCGAACGAAUUCUGGGCAGAUAUCAAUUUCCAUAAAACGUUCUCAACACAAAAAUCCGAACAGGGCAUGAAUAUGAACUCAUAAUGGAUAAAAUACAAAAUUCAAGGAUAACAUAAACAUAAAAAAUCAAGAAAAAUCAUUUGAGUCAAAUGCAUAUAGUGAGAGUACACUACAUAUGUUGAAGCCUACCUAAAGUUCUGGACUUAGGCAAAUUUGAUACUAGAGAACAUGGAACUGCAGAACAUCAUGAGGACAAUAGAAUUAUAGUGAAGUAUGCAACAAUACAAUACUGCGGUUCACAAAUAGCAGGAAAACUUAGUCCAUGCUUGUCCAUAAAAUUUCAAAUAGUGUUGACACGCAGAAAUAACCUUACAUGUACAAGUAGAGGAGUAAGAAGUAAAGUUGUAAAGGGUCAAGAUCACUAACUAGUUGCAAAGAUAAAUGAGCAAAAGAAUGAGAAACAUAGAAUUCUGAUUAGUGAUUAGGGCUUCUUGAUUGCAAAUCGGCAGGUGAAUGAAAGAAUCGUCCAAUUGCACAUGUAUAUAGCGAAAUAUCGUUCAAAUCCUACAGAUUGAAGUUAGAAUAGUUCGACCUCUAAAGAUAAUACUUGCUAAAAUCGGGCAGUAAUAUCACAAAUGCAUGAAUAAUAGUGAGAUAAUGCAAAUAAGGUAAGUGAAUGAUGGUGUAGUUCCAUUUCUUAAUCGGAAUCGGAGAGGUUUGAGUGGUGAGGUGGCUAGGAUUUUACAAAAGAAUAAAAGGAGGGGUUGAGAGUGUGUAGAGGUUACCGGUGAAUGGAAAAUAGGUUAGGAUUUGGGUGCCAGGAUAUAAGGAGAAUUGAGGGGUUCGUUGUGGGCCAUUGAUCAUUUAAGCUCAACAACUACUCAACUAGGAUUUAAGGGAGACAUAGUGGGUCGGGAGACGGGUAGCUGACCUGGUUUUAAUAAGGGUUGUUUGGAUUUGGGCCUCAAAUGGCUAAAAUGAAUGGGCCUGCUAUUUUGGGCCACUUUUGGUCCGAUUUUUGGCUUGCUUUUGGGCUGGAAUUAAAACAUGAAAAAAUAAGGGAAUAAAAUUAAUAAAAUAGCUAAUAUAUAUAUAUAUACACAAAAAUCUGUUUAUGCAAUUUAAUACUUUAAAAUAGUGGCAUAGUAUCAUAAAAAUAUCUAAAAUACUAUUUUGACCUAAAUAAUACAAUAAAUGUAAUUAUUGGUAAAAAUAUAAGUUAUUGUUGCAAAUAAUACGUAAAUAGUGUAAAAAUACAUAUAUAAUUGUAUAAAAUUAUGUAAAAUACUAUAAAUAUAUGCAUGGAAAUGUAGAUAAUUACUUUGAACUUUGGACAAUUAGUCAUUCAGAAAUAAUUUUAAAGAAAUAAUUCACAAUAUUUACUAACUAAAAUGCAAAAAUUAAUAAAAAAUUGGUUAUAAAUGGCAUAAAAUCAUUUGUGUAAUUCCGUGAUAAUAAAUUAACUAAAAAUGAAAGAUUUAUAUUAAAACAUAUCAUGGAAUAGUAGUGGAAGGAAAUAUUCUAUAAAUAAUCUUUAAAAGACGUAAAAAUAUGUUAUAAAGUACACUGGCUAAGUAACAAACAUGAAGGUAAAAUUGAGUACCAACAAUUAUAUCAAAUCAGCCCCGAAUUACCGUUCAAAAAUUAAAACCAACCUUGCACACAAGUCAUAGUGCAUCAAGUAAAGUUAAUCAAAGUCUUAAAUCAUAGAAUGUAAUGUUAUAAUUUAAAAUGGCUGAUCGAAUCGUUAUAGAGAUACUUUAACAAAGGAAACCAUUAAGUGUGGCAAAAAUAUCAUAUCAAGAAACUGAUAUUGUCCGAGUUUAUAGUAACGCAAUCAGAUGCCCUUCUUUUCUUUGUUCUCAAUUUUCGUGCCUUUGUUGAGUGUUCAAUUUUUCUUUGAACAUUCAAGCACAUAAAACUUCUAUAUAAUCUGAUAUUGUAUUUCUGUCUCAACGUAUAAAAUCCCAAGCUGUUAGGGAGAGAGAAAAGCAUAUGUUGGUUAUUUUAUUUCAUUAGUAAAACUCACACUCAUCUAGAUAUGAUACAGACUUGCAAUAGUUUGUGCUGGAAUUUAUGCUAUGGGGAUAAUUUGCUGCUGAAUACGAUGUAAUGUCACAAAGGCGGAUGACUCCGAGACGUUGUCUGAUGCAUAACUUGAAAGCAUAUAUUUAUUUAUUUUUUCCCUAUCGCCAUAUCAAAUAGAGUAUUCAAAAUAUUGUACAAAGGAAAAUUAAAGAGAGAUUAAUACUAAAAAUUUUAUAACAAUUUAGUACUAAAAAGUCAACUCCAAUGCAUAUGGAUAGUACCAACAUAUUCACUUGUCACCUUAAAUAUACAUUACACCACAUAUUUUUAAUUAGAUAAAUAAGGUCCAAGCCUAAGGGUUAUUCCCCCACACAAGAUUAGGUGAGAUAAUUACCUUAAACGGGCCAAAUCAAUAUUCCAAAAAUGCAUUUCCUUCAGAAACCACCUCUGACUAGCUCGAAUCUAGCAAAAAAUAAUUCAAUAACGUCAAACAAAGUCAUAGAAACACCUUUAGCAAAGCUUUGAUCUUUAAUCAGAUCUCCAAAAGUCAAUAAAACUCAAUCCAGACUUACACAGUCAAAAUCCGAGUCAAGGAAUAGAUCUCGACUAUCUGUAACUCCAUGAAUCCAAAUAUAUUAUUAGAUUCCAAAUUGUGUCCAAAUCGACUCCAAAAUCCCCCAAUUCACUCUCUUAAGUUGUGGACAGACCACCCAAAUUUUUCUUUAAUAAUGAAUUUGCUCUCUCAAAUAUCUACCUCUCUAAGUCUAGGGCUCAAAUAUGAGAAAAUGGGUAAAAAAAUCCGAAAUUAUAAUACUUAAGGAUUGACCUAGUGAUACAUUUUGCGAAAGCGACCACAACCUCACGUUCACAAAGUACAAAAAUACAUUGACCCAUAAUAAUUUUCAUGAAAGCGGGCUCUAGCACGAGAACGUGAUGCACAAGUCCCACUGGCCUACGCGAACACGGUCAAUCCCAUAAAACACGAAGGCUUAGCUCCAACCUUCUAGCAGCCUACAAUCCUUCUCUACGAACACAAUGCCUAGGCCACGAACGCGAAUGAUACUGAUCACAAAUGUGUCUCACCUCUCACGAACACAAAGAACAAAAUUCCUCUACCCCAAAUAAGCCUCCGUGAUCACAAUACCUUCUCUGAGAUCGUGAAGUGCACCACACACUAAAAGUCAUUAGCAACUCAAUCAAGCUUCGGAUGGUCCGAAACACACCCGAGCUACCCCGAGACCUUGACCAAUCAUACGAACAAGUCCGUAAAAACUAUAUGGAUCUAACAAAAGCCUCUAAACACAUGCAAUAUCAUCACAUCUACGAAUUGAGGAUCAAACCAUCAAUUGAACCUCUGAAGUUUAUAAGCUUCUAAGCUUCCAACUAAACUUCUAAUUCCCACCAAACCAACUCGAAAUGUACAAAAAUUUGCACACAAGUCCAAAAUAACAUAUCAUGUCUAUUCAAAGUCCUAAAACAAUAACCUGACCUUGAUAGCCUCAAAGGAAACUUCUAAUCAAACCUAUGAACUUUCUAAACCUUCAAAUUUUUAACUUUUGAUAAUUUAAGACAAAUCGCCUAGGGACCUCGAAAUCCAAAUUCGGGCAUACACUUUAUGUCUAAAAUCACCAUAUAAGCCUAUUAAAACCAUCAAAUAAUCAAUCUGAGGUCGUUUACAUAGAAGUUAGACCUAGGGUCAAAUCUUAUAACUUAAGCCUCAAGCCUCCAACCAUGGAAACAAAGUGUUCCAAUUCGCUAAAAACCCUCCCGAAACCAAAACAACCAUCCCCUCAAGAAACAAAUAUAGAGAAAGCUUCAAAUAUGGUAACAACGACUCAAAUACGCAAAAUGACCAUCAAGUCAUUAUACUUAUAGACUUUCCUUGCCUCCUAAUCUUUCGGGAGUUCAUAUAGUACUCCAUGUUUCUACGCUUUGAGAGUAUCAUAAAGAUAGGUCAAUUGUUUUGGAUUUUAGAACAACACAACUGGAUAAGAAUCUAACUUAUGAGGAGGAUUUAGUGGCCAUUUUGGAUAGGCAAGUUUGGAAGUUGAGGUCGAAGGAUAUUGCAUUGUUGAAGGUCUAGUGGAGAGGUUAGCUAGUCAAGGAGUCAUCUUGGGAGACUGACCAUGAUAUGUGGAGAAAAUACACUUACCUUUUUGGCACUCUAGCUAUGAUUCUUAACUUGUUCGAUACUGAUGCGGAGCAUAUGGCUAAAUACUCUGAAGACCCGUCAAUAAAAGAAAGCACACUCCGCCAGAUAUGUAAAUAACCUCGUUGAGCGAAACUCAACCAAAAGUCCACUCAAUUUGGUUUGCGGUCAAAGAACAUAAAUACGUGAACCAUGCCUUAGUACCCUUCGGCAACUCAUGACCGUUUACUGGUUUCCAUAUUCUUCAAUGCAAUUGAGUCUGGUCAAACCAUAGUUCAUGUAUUUUGGGUGAUGGCAAAGAUGUUCACCAGCCACAUUUGCAAAAACAAGUUGUAACACUCAAAGAAUUUUGUCCCAACUCAACAGAAGGUUAAAGCUCGAUAGAUUUCUGUUAGAAUCAUUAGUAUAAGAGUACUGUUGGCCUUUUUGGCCAUAAAGCGACCAUUCCUGCAAGUCUCGAUUCUAUAUGUCUGUCACUCCUUGGGCAUAUCGGAGUGCCUAAAAAUGCAACUACAAAGGAUAAACCUCUACGUGCUUCCCAUUUAUUUUUAUUUCCCUGAUGACUCAAACCAGUGUUCGUAUCCUCAAAUAUGGAGGGUCCCGAUACCGGUUGUAUAAGAAGUAGAGUUUGCAGAAUCCUUCGGCCAAAUUUUAAGCUUUAACCUGCCGGCUAAUUCUCAGAAGGUCCAAAACUUAUGAAGGGUUAUAGUUCUUGGUGCUACUAGAUAUUGGUGCCUGAGAUUCCCAUAAAGACCAGCAUAACCUGCCAUCUCCUCUAGCAUAGGGGUCAACUCAAAAUCAGAGAAGUAGAAAACAUUGUGUGCGGAUCCCAGAACGAUAUCAAAGCUUCAAUUAUAUCAUCCAUAAGUUUAAUUUUCAGAAGACUGGUGGCCCACCUAAAGCCUUAGUCAUAGAACGCUUGCUGACCUCCCCUAGAUUGUUCCACCACAAGUGGAGUCUCAGUAGAAUCUCAUCUACGAAUCAAAAAGGUAGCUUCUCAAUGGUGCUCAUUCUACACAUUUUUAAAUUAGGGCGACAAGUUAAAAUAUGUGAAAUUCAUUUGAAAACUGAUCUGAAAAAUAAUAUUUUGCAAAAUUCAAUUUAAAAUAAAUCAAGACUUUAGGGAUGUGGUUUCUAAGUGGUCAAAAACUAGAAAAAUGAUCACAGGCGACUAUUCUUGCAAAAUGAGAGGACAUAAGGUCUUUAUAUAGAGAGUAAGAAUUUGGUUAUGCACACAGAAAAAUCAGAGACUAAUUCUGGAAUGUCAAUCCCUAAAAUUUAGAAAAAAAUAUCUUUUAAGCAAUAAAUGGCAGCUGUCGGUUUCCAAUGUUUAUCCAAGUUUUCAGCAUCUUUUAUCAACAGGUUUGGACAGCUGUCCCCUUAUAUAAGCUUCUUUUUACUCCCAGAACCUUUUAAACUUUUGAAACUUCAAUUUUUACCCCAAGUUUUAAACCUAUUCCCCAUUUUAAUAUAUUUUCAACCAAACAGAAACAGAUUCCUUAGUUUUCCUAUUCUUUUAGACCCCUAAAUUUCAGUAAUUACAAACAACUAUCACAAAAAGUUAGAUGGAUAAAAAAUUACCGCACAACAAGCAAUACUCAAUCUUUAACCUAUUUAGGUAAUUAACUAAUUGAACAUGUAAUUAACUAAUUAAAGUCACUUUAAACUAAUUAAAAUUGAUUGUUAUGCUUUUAAAACAUUGGCCUAAUUACAGAAUUGAUGAAUUUGAAAUCCUAACUAAUCUACACCAUGCUAAACAUACGAGAAGAUAUUCUAAAAAUCAACAUAUUGAUACACCCUUAAAAUAACUAUCAAUUGAUUAAUUUAACAAAAGUUGAAACUAAUACUAAAAACAUAUUGUUAAUUUUAAAAUAAAGCUAAUCUACAACAUGUAACACAAAAAUGUCAGUCCAUAAACUUAAAAUAAGCAGUAACGAAAGAAGCGAAAAGAAUGAAUACCCCUCGACGACAAGGCUGCCCAAAAGAAAAUAUCUAACUAACAGUUGGCAUCGUUACAUGAACACUAACUCACACUCGAGGCGUAGCCAAUGCUAUAUGUGAUAAUGUCCGCCAUAUUUCGAUAAAACAAAUCAUUAUUAUGGAGAUUCCAUGGUGGUGGCGGGAUUCAGAUGGCCUAGAAUAGGUUCAAAAUAGACUCUUGAUUACUCUCAACAAGAGUGUUCAAUUAGUGUUGGUAUGAACCUCAGGUAUGCCGGAUUUUGGAAAAACAUAAAACGGGGUGGAUUUAGGUAUUUGUGACUUUUUAGAUCCAAAAUUUGACCAGCUUGGUGGGAAUUUUGGGAAAUUGGUAAGGGGUUAAGAUUUAAGAGGAUGUGGGGAUUAUGUGGUGUUAAUUUAGGGUGAUUUUCAGCGGCGACGGGCAACGAGGGAUGAAAGAGCGGUGAGUGAGACGAGUUUGAGACGAUUUGUGGUGGGGG